UUUGUCCUUUGCGCAUCGUCUUCCGGGGGAGAGGGAUGGCGCCGCUCUCGCCGCCGUUGCCGGCGACGAUGGCACGACAUCUCCCUCGCGAGCACGAGGCUCUCCCCGAAUUCAGCACGGCAUCGCCCUCCCGCUGAUUCGUCAGCACGUCCUCCCCGGCGGACGCUUUCUACACAAACCUUGAUGGUAUCUAUGGCUUGAUUGUUCAGAUGCAUAUCAGGUUCCAUCAUGGGCAGGAACUUGGUUCAAACACCAAAGAAUAUGUUCAUCUAAUAGGAGAUGUUCUUGCCAAGUGUGAUCACAUUGAGUGGAAGGUGGUUGAGUUGGAGAAGACGCUUUCAGUUGCAUCAAGAGAUCCAACAUAUUAUGGACUUGAUGAAGCUGAACUCUCAAGGAGACGGGAGCUUUCUCGCUCUGUUCGUGAUCAGAUUUUCUUCAAUAUUUCUGUUGUUAUCUCAUCGAAUUACCAAUGCGGCACAUCUCCUUUUUUUUGAAGAAAACUAUGGUACUCUUGAGCAUGCGUUGGUGAUGUCAGGUGUGCUGUUGAAAAGAGAAUACGCAAAUCAGGAAUACUAACACAUCAGAAGCUGAGAAGAAAUAUCCAUCGUUCUUCCCAAGAGAACAAUGACUAUAUCAGUAUAUCUUCAGAUAGACAUCUUCUACAUGUGAGGCAGUAGGAUGAAGAACUUGAUGAUAUCACUGCAAAUGUUCAGAAUAUCGGAGGUGUCGGGCUAACCAUACGCGGCGAACUGUCUAGACAGGAAUCAUUGAACCAACAAGGUGAUCCUGACCCGAACAAUCCUGGUCUAUCACUGAACGAAAAGGCAACCAUUGCUGUGAUGAAGGUUUUAUCGACCUCAGUGCUUACGAUGAUUGCUGCUCUCAGUACCUACUCAUCUGAUACUCUAGCACCUUUAGCGAAAGGGAGACUCGCAAAGGAGACGCUCCUUAUCUCCCCUUAUACAUGUGUGCCGAUUGCUUUAAUUGGAGCUGCUCUUUCACUUUGUGCGUCUGAGAGUAAUGGUCUUGCCGAUUUUGCUUCUAUUGCGGUUCUUCUUGUCUGUCUAUAUGGUAUUGGGCUAGGAGCCUCAGCCGUCAUGAUCAUCUCACACACAACCGCGCGGACCGAUGGUGCUUUGGACUUAUCUACUUGUUAUCACUCUUUUUUGCGCCUGGGGCUGCUUUUUUGCGUAUCCGAGGGUUAGAUUUUUGCCAUUUAUCUGUUAAUAUAUUUCUAUAUUGGCACCUUCUCUGUUUUUGUGUCUUGUAUUGCCUGAAGUUCAUCAUGCGUAUGAUUUAUUGGGAGUGUUUCGAUGGGCGGAGAAGUACCAAGCCUCAGAGUGCAGCGUAUACUCAUCCAGUCAAGAUACAGACCAAAAGAGCACGAAGAAAAGUAUAUCUCAGUGCUCGCCCAUCGAGUUUUGAAAUUCUAUUCUGGACGCUAAGAAGAUGAAUGAUAUUGUGGACCCUGAGGAGUUAAAACUUAUUCAAGAUUGUAUCAAGAAAGUUGCCGAGGAUAUUGACUGGCAAUGUGUACUUGAAAUCUUGCCUGUGAAACUCAAGAAGCAGUUGAGUUUAUUUCUGAUUGGUUGUUUUAAUGAAGAACAGGAUAUGUUCAUUAUCAAUGGGGUACCCAUUGACAUUAAGCCUCUGGUACACCUGGUUGUAGGCCUGUCCCGUUCUGGGAAUAAAGUUGACAUGUCCCGUUCUGGGGAUAAAGAUGCACUUGAACAUGACAAGGAGUAUGAGUACAUGUAUGAUGUGUUCACAGCAGGUGGAAGGUCAAUGUAUGCUAUAGAAGGUUUGAGGUAUCUAACCAAGGAUGAAAAUAAGGUAAGCUUCACCAUUUGCUUCCUCCAGUAAGCCAUGGCUUUUAUUUUCGGUCCAAAGAACAAUAGAUGCCUGGAUAGGGAGUACUUGUAGUGAUUUCGCAACCUUGAUGAUCUGAAAAAUCUGAACUGGUGUGACUUCAUUGUCGAUCUUCUGUGUCGAGAAAUAAAAAAAUUCAAUGCUAGGACAGCAACAUUUAAGAAGUGGGGGGUUGUUUACUAGUUCCGAUGGUAAGUGGUGUCAUAAAACAUAUUUUUUCAAUUUGAUUUUUUUUUUGCAAACUGAUUACUGAUAAACUCUUGUUUUUCAUGCAUGAUGUGUUUUAUGACUUGCUAACUCCAAAUGAUCUACGGCCGAAAGUGUUUCCCCGGGCCAAUUAUAUAACAAAAACGAAUUUGAACACCUUGGAGGAUUUCAAGGAAUUAGAGAAGUUCGAGGCAGUAGAGGAGUUGUACGUGUUCUACAAUCUGGGUGAGCCAAAUGAUCCGAUAUUCAAGAAAUACAAGGCUCAUGCCCAUCAGCAGCACUCGUCAGAGCAAGCGUAGCAACGGUCAAAUGCACGUGCCAGCUCAACCUACUGCGUCCCAGUCAUCGUAGUUUACCUCUAGUUCUCUACGGUCUGCACUACUUGUUAGCCUGGCCAGUGUGGCCAGUGUGGCCUCUAUUCUGCCUCUUGUAUUUACAUAAAAGUAUUUCUAGCCAUUAAUAUGAUUGGCAGCUGGAACGACAUGCACGCGGAUUAAGACACACACGCAAUGGAUGUGAACAUGCUCUCGUUCUGAUACUUAGUCAUGCUAGCCACAGAAUCAUAAGGCCACAUUGGCCAGGCUAACAAAUAGUGUAGACAGUAGAGAACUAGAGGUAAACUACGAUGACUGGGACGCAGUAGGUUGAGCUGGCACGUGCAUUUGACCGUUGCUACGCUUGCUCUGACGAGUGCUGCUGAUGGGCAUGAGUCUUGUAUUUCUUUAAUAUCGGAUCAUUUGGUUCGCCCAGAUUGUAGAACUCGUACAACUCCUCUAUGGUCUCGAACUGCAAAAAGGUUUCACACAAAAUAUUGGUAAACAAUGUAAAUCAGGUAGCUUCUCUAAAUUAGAUACAAGUUAUCAAAUAAAAUAUUGGUAAACAAUAUCUUACUGUUACUAGCUUCUCUAAUUCUUGAAAUCCUCCAAGGUGUUCAAAUUCGCUUGUGUUAUAUAAUUGGCCCGGGGAAAACCCUUUCGGCCGUAGAUCUUUUGGAGUUAGCAAGUCAUAAAACACAUCCUGCAUGAAAAACAAGAGUUUAUCAGUAAUCAGUUUGAAAAAAAAUAUUCAAAGUGAAAACAUAUGUUUUAUGACACCACUUACCAUCGGAACUAGUAAACAACCCCCACACUUCUUAAAUGUUGCUGUCCUAGCAUUGAAUUUUUUUAUUUCUCGACACAGAAGGUCGGCAAUGAAGUCACACCAGUUCAGAUUUUUCAGAUCAUCAAGGUUGCGGAACCACUCCAAGUACUCCCUGUCCAGGCAUCUAUUGGUCUUUGGACCGAAAAUAAAAGCCAUGGCUUCCUGGACGAAGCAAAUGGUGAACACUACCUCAUUUUCAUCCUUGGUCAGAUACCUAAACCUUCUUUAGCAUACAUUGACCUUCCACCUGCUGUGAACACAUCAUACAUGUACUCAUACUCCUCGUCAUGUUCAAGUGCAUGUGUAUCCCCAGAAUGGGACAGGUCAACUUUAUUACCAGAACGGGACAGGCCUACAACCGGGUGUACCAGAGGCUUCAUGUCAAUGGGUAUCCCAUUGAUAAUGAACCUAUCUUGUUCUUCAUGAAAACAACCAAUCAGAAAUAAACUCAAGUGCUUCUUGAGUUUCACAGGGUCCACAAUAUCAUUCAUCUUCUUAGCGUCCAGAAUAGAAUUUCGAAACUCGAUGGGCGUGCACUGAGAUAUACUUUUCUUCGUGCUCUGCAGAUGUCAAAACGAUUAUUCAACAAACUGAAUUUAUAAACAAAAAAGGGAAGAGAUCAUGAUUGUGAUUUUCCUUUGUGAUGUACUGAUAGCCUGCCAUUUGUAACUUAUUUAAACUUUGGAACUUGUAUUUCUUAUUUUGAUGCAUCUGUGUUUUAUGGACUUGAACAUGGCUUAAUAUUUUGGAUCAUACUUUGCAUGAUAUUUGGAUGAUAAUAUAUGUUUGAGUAUGUGAAUGUUUGUUCUGAGUUCAAAAAGUUAAAAAAAUAGUUGUUACAGACAUGUAUGUGAUAAUGUAGCAAUUCCAUAUUGAAUUUUAGAAUCAUUUGCAAUUCUCUGGCAGCCAAACAUGUAUGUGUUUUUGGAAUCCAAAUACAAAUGAAAUGAAUUCCUUUGUGAUGAAGCUUUAUUCGUAUGGCAAUGUCAUAUUUUGGAUCACACUAAUUAAAUAAAUGGGAUUUCCCGCUUAUAGCACCACUUGGGCUGUGUUUUUUUUUUUUUUAAUCUGGUGGUCUGAUUCUAUAGUAGAGAUAAUUCAUUCUGCAUACAUUAUUGAUGUCUCGAGAAAAGUAACUUAAUGUCUUGCUUAGUUUUGGAAUAUCAUGAAAAGACCUUAAAUCCAGAGAAGGAUCACGGGAAUACCACAAAAUUUUCAAGGGUACCUCCGUAGGUCCUUUGCUUCUUUUGCUAUCACUUGGAAAUACAGUAUAUAUUAGUUAGUAAUAAAAAAUUAGCUCAUAUACUGGUUUAUGCUUUGAACUUCAAAAUCAUAUUACAUCUAAUAUUUGUUACGUUGCUUAUUUUAUUAGACCUAAUAAUAGUUACUUUGCUACACCGGGCUGGUUUUGCUGUUACUUAAUGUAUAUAUAUCUACAUUCUCUAUUUUUCAUAUGCUAAAGAGGUAAAGCGAUUGAUAUGUUAUGUCGUUUAAAUCAAAGUAAAACCCUUUUUAUAUAGGGAGGGUAUCUAAUAGAACGUGUGAACAAGAUUCUAUCUAGAAUCUUUUGUUUCUCAAUGUCUUCUGAUUACUUUCUCAACAAUGUGAUUGCUACAUCUGACUGUGCAUUCACUCAAUAGGACAUCAUUUAUUGUACUUUCUUGCAAAUCCAGCUGCCUACAUGUUUCGAGAUCAAACUUUUGUGAUUUUUGACUGAUAAUUAGGCCAAACUCAUGACAGGGCUUCCAUAAGAUGCUUUCCAACUCUUUUGCAACAUGCCGACGGGCCUUUAUUCCUCUCAACGAAGAUACAACAAUUGAUGUCCUGAAAGCAGUUUCUCCUACUCUUCUCACUGCCAUUAGUGUCCUCAGUUUGUGGGCUGCUCAUACUGUAGCACCCAGGCGUAUUUUCCUGUUACGUUACAGAGGUUUCUGUACAUGCUGCCAUAUUUUUAUCUGCCAUUAGGUGUUGUUACAAUUGCUCUGGCAGUUGCUGCGUCAAAAUCUAAUGGGUUAGCGAGUCAUGCUUCGGUUUUAGGUUUAGUCCUAUGUGCAUUUGGAAUUGCUUUGGGCGCUUGCUGCGGUGUUGUUAUGCUUCAGUUUGCACCCAAACUAUCUGCGCUUGGAGCAGCAGUGUUAAUUGUUGCUCUUGUCAUCAUGUGGGGAUGGAUGCUUGCAUAUCCUAAGAUGCUGAACUUUACCAUCCUCAAGACCUUGUGCCUGUAUUGUGCUCGAAGACUGAAAAUUGUUCCUUUGGGCAGAUAUGAUAGUUGUGGGUGCGAUUCCUGGGCAUGGUCAUUUUCAGUGCCAAAGGUCAUCUGCCGCAAUAUGGUCCUCUGCCCUUUCAUUUUUUUCGCUUCUUGCUCAAGGAGUGUUCGAGCUUGGUGGAAUACUGUACGUGCACAUAGGGCUAGAGUUGACUUGGAUCCUGAGGCUGGACUGGAGAUGAUCCCUAUGGCUGUACAUGUGGAAACCCAAGGUGGUUUUCCACAAGGUGGUGUUGACUGGCAGUGGAUGAAUAGUAUGAGCCGAUAUCGUAUGAGAGUUUAGGGUAGCACUAGCGUGGCUGCAUUAUCCCAUGUAAUACUACUUGUUCUGACAAUACCCCAGGCCAGUGUAAAGUUAACAAUUGCAGCAAAUUGAGCUGCUGUGAGAUGCUGUGACCCAUUUGCUAAUAUGAUCUAAGUGUAGUUUGAGAUAAAUUAGACCCCUGGCCAGUGUAAAGUUAACAUUUGCAGCAAAUUGAGCUGCUGUGAGAUGCUGUGACACAUUUGCCAAUAUGAUCUAACUGUAGUUUGAGAUAAA